AUAAUUACCUGGCAGGGGAAAUACUAUGACCACUAAGGCAGUUUUCCUAGUUGCUGGGGAUAACCACUUUUCUGGCACGGGGUAGUACCUGCAGAGGUAAUGUAUAGCUAAUCUUCUGCUUUCUCUUCCAGUGGGAAGAUCUUGGCUUUACGUCCAC
rnacentral:snRNA from 1 species